rnacentral:rRNA from 1 species
UGGGGAAUUUUGGACAAUGGGGGCAACCCUGAUCCAGCCAUGCCGCGUGUGUGAAGAAGGCCUUCGGGUUGUAAAGCACUUUUGGCGGGAACGAAACGGUCUGUGCUAAUACCACGGACUAAUGACGGUACCCGCAGAAUAAGCACCGGCUAACUACGUGCCAGCAGCCGCGGUAAUACGUAGGGUGCAAGCGUUAAUCGGAAUUACUGGGCAUAAAGCGUGCGCAGGCGGUUUCGCAAGUCAGAUGUGAAAUCCCCGGGCUCAACCUGGGAACUGCAUUUGAAACUACGAGGCUUAAGUGUGGCAGAGGGGGGUGGAACUCCACGUGUAGCAGUGAAAUGCGUAGAGAUGUGGAGGAACACCGAUGGCGAAGGCAGCCCCCUGGGCUAACACUGACGCUCAUGCACGAAAGCGUGGGGAGCAAACA